rnacentral:rRNA from 1 species
AUGAACGCUGGCGGGCGUGCUUAACACAUGCAAGUCAAAGGGGGCCCAGCAAUGGGGCAAACCGUUGCGAAACGGGUGCGUAACAACAACGUGAGCAAACACCUACCCAGGUGUGGGGGGAUAGCCGGCCCAACGGCCGGGGUAAAUACCGCAUACGCUUUUCUCGAGGCAUUUUCGGGGGUGGGAAUAUAUAAGGAAACCUUCGGGGCACCCAUGAGGGGCUCGCGGGCCUAUCAGCUAGUUGGCGAGGGAGGUAAUGGCUCACCAAGGCUACGACGGGUAGCUGGUUCUGAGAGGAUGGCCAGUCACAUUUGGGACUGAGAAACGGCCCAGACUCCUACGGGAGGCCAGCAGUGGGGAAUCUUGCGCAAUGGCCUAAACGGCUGACGCAAGCGACGCCGCUGUGAGGGAUGAAGCUCCUCGGAGUGUAAACCUCCUUUUGCCCGGAACGGAAACUAUCAGCAUUCGCUGAUUUUUGGACGGUUACCGGGUGAAUAAAGCACCGGCUUAACUUCCGUGCCAGCAGCCGCGGUAAUACGGGGGGUGCGGCGUUUGUCCGAAUCACUGGGCGUAAAAAGGGGCGCGUAGGUGGCGUGAUAAGGGUGUGGUGAAGCCCCGGGGCCUCAACCCCGGGUCGGCCAUGCCGCGAACUGUCAGGCUGGGAGUGCUGUAGGGGCAGGCGGAAUUCCGGGUGUUGUUUGUUGUAGCGGUGGAAUGCGGUAGAGAUCCGGAGGAAGACCGGUUGGCGAAGGGCGGCCUGCUGGCAGUUACUGACACUGAGUCUGUGCGCGACAGCGUGGGGAGCAAACAGGAUUAGAUACCCUGGUAAGUCCACGCCGUAAACGAUGGGUACUAGGGUGCCUGGGGGAAGCGACCCCCUUGGGUGCCGGCCGGCUAACGCAAGGAAGUACCCGCCUGGGGAAGUACGGCCGCAAGGCUGAAACUCAAAAGGAAUUGACGGGGGCCCCGCACAAGCGGUGGAGCAUGUGGUUUAAUUCGACGCAACGCGAAGAAACCUUACCUAGGCUUGACAUGCAUGGGAAACUCCUGGAGAAAACCAGGAGCCUCCUUCGGGAUCCAUGCACAGGUGCUUGCAUGGGCUGUCGUCCAGCUCGUGUCGUGGAGAUGUUGGGUUAUAAGUCCCGCAACGAGCGCAACCCCUGUUCUUAGUUGCCAGCGCCGUAAUGGCGGGGACUCUAGGAAGACUGCCGGUGCCAAAAAACCGGGAGGAAGGUGGGGACGACGUCAAGUCCAUCAUGGUCCUUACGUCUAGGGCUACACACGUGCUACAAAUGGGUCGGACAGUGGGGGCCGAGGCAAGCAAUGCCCAGGCAAAUCCCAAAACCGAUUCCUCAGUUCGGAUUGUCGUCUGCCAACUCGACGGCCCAUGAAGCUGGAAUCGCUAGUAAUCGUGGAUCAGCCAUCGCCACGGUGAAUACGUUUCCCGGGCCUUGUACACACCGCCCGUCACGCCAUGGGAAAGCUGCGAAGCGCCGAAGUCGGUGUCGGAAACCCUCUGGGACCAAGCCGCCGAAGGCCCGAGCGUAGUGACUGGGGCG